ACCUUCAAAAUCAAUCCAGAAACUUCUCAACCCACUUCAGCUGCUUUCACUUCUAAAGGAUAGAAAAAAAAUCAAGAAGCUUCUCAUCAAUUUAUACCACCAAAAAUAUAGUAUAAUUUUGCUCAAGCUGGUGCUGCAAUUUUCAGAUAUCAGGUAUUAAUUUUUGAACUGUUCUAAUUUGAGCAUCGUUUCUUCUUUUGAUAGCAUCUUUUAAAGUUUCUUCGAGCUUCUUCGCGAUUUUUUGAAGCUUCUUCAACUUUCUAAUGUAAUAAAACGAAAUUAUGAAAAAGAAAUGAUAGGGUACUUACAGUUACAGGUGAAGAGUUCGUUGGAUUAAUUUCUGAAGAAAAGAAAGUUUUAGGGCAGAAAGGAGAUAAAGUAUAAAUAUAAAUAAAUCCAGCAGCUCCAAAAAGAAGAGAAAAAACUGCAAUAGUAGAUAUAGAGUUCUUGGUCUAUAUAUCCAUUUUCAUUUCUUUGGGAAUAUUGUUAGUUUAGUGGAUUUUGAAUCUUUCGCAAAAGUCCAAUUUUUUUGGGGUUUUGCCUUUUUGUUGUUGAUACAGGAGAUUUGGGGGUGUGGUAGGUGAGGAAAUUUUUUCUUCUAUUUUGUUUUGUUUUGUUUUAUCUCUUGGACUUAGGAAGGUCAUGUAAUGGAAAUGAAGUGGGAAAGAUAAAAGGAACUAAGAGCCUGUUUGGAAAGCCGCCCAGGUAAUUAUAAUUGGGUAUAAUUACAUAGUUUGGCCUAUUUUUUUUUUACUAAAUAAUUAUACAGUUAGGUGGAAAUUGAGUUUAAUUAAGAGGGUGUAAUUACACUCUUUAAUACUCAAGGGGUGGUUGAGAAUUGGGUGUGAUUACACCAUGUAAUUAUAGGGUUAAUAAGACAACACCGUUUUGCUAAAGAUAUAAGUUUCCACUAUCGCAUGAUUUACAUUACUCAAAAAAGAUUAUUAAACCUUAGAAGCUCAAGAAUGAUCCUUACCGAACACAUUAACUAUUUAGACACAGACAAGUUAAUGAAGUUUUUUUACUUGUGGCUAACACGAUUGGCUAUCACCCCUUUUGAGGCUAUUGAGCAUCAAAUGAAAGAUUUUGAAUUUGGUAACUAAAAACCUUCAAUAUCUCAUUUGCAAAUUCACACUCUAUUUUUUACUUAUUCAUUUAUUGUUUUUUUUAUCUAAUGAUGUCCUUGGACUACUUAUUAAUGUUGGACUUGCAAGUAACGCAUCAAAUGGGAAGAAAUUCCAGGAAUUCAUCAUUAUGGAUACUCAAAAAAGGCCUAAAAAGCUAACACUUUGGGAGGACUCUGUCGAACAUUAUGGAAAUGAACUUUUAGAGAAAGUGAAACACUAUCCCGUCUUCCUGGCUAGAAGAGUGGUAAAAUCAUCAUCAGGGAUAUGGAGCAGAUACAACACAACAAUACUCUUACAUCCCACAUAUCCACAAGCUACCACAUUAGCUGCAUGGGCCAAAACAAUUCAACGACAACUCAUUGAGUACACAGCUAGAAGCAUGUCCCCAGAAGGCACUCUUCUUUUUGUUCCCUUUGAAGAAGAAUCAGUAUUCAUAUCUGAUAUCCAAAUGCAGCCACAGGGACAAAUAUUCUAUAUUGACGGUCAACUUUCACUGAUAAAUGAAGACCAACAUUUCUGCUCCAUGGCGUGCUCAGAUUGUAAAUUGCCAUUUUUAAGAACUACUACACCAAGGCCAAUCUACUGCAUCCAGUGCGAAAGAUCCACCCAACUUAUUCCCAGAAUCCAAUUUGAAGUUAUGGUCAUGGAUCACACUGGUAGCACAGUAGCCUCCAUCUCAGAUCAAUCAACAACGAAGAUGUUGAACCUCACUGUACAAGAGAUUUAUGACAUCUGCCAUGCACAGCGCUACUUCUUGACAAUGCACAUAAAUAAUUGGGACGAAAGACUUUUCAGAAUCCAAAUGAAAAGAUUAUUUUCCAAAAAUCAAGAUAGGUUAGCUAUCAUGAAUUAUGAGGAAAAAGAACAUACAAACCAACCAUCACCAACUGCACCAAUGACCAGCACUGCUGAAACAAGCAAGCGCAAGGCUAUGGAGAUUAGCUUCGACCGAACAAAUCAGCAGAACCUGCCCAAAGACAAACCUUCCAGCACUAGACAGAAAACAGAAACCAAGACUCCUCUCAAAAGGGAGUGAAAGCUACUAGAAAUGUUUUGCCAACAAGUUUUUGGAGCACAUCUUUUUUUGCCAAUGGAAUGUCAAGCUACUAUCUUUUUGCCACAAGACUGCCUUUUUGAAAAGCUACAUUACAACUAUAUGUGACGCCCCCUGCUUUAAAAAGGUAUUUUGUCAACCAUGGCGUUACACAACUACAACAUGCUGGAUUACUACUAAGAAAAUGCUUUUUCUGUAAAUAUGUAGUAUAAAUGAUGUAUAUAUGACAGUGCAAUCAUCAAUGUAAUAGACAAAUGUAUAUAUGCAUAAACAGUGGAAACUUAUUUUA